CUUGAAGCGCAAUGGAUAGCGCGUUGAACUUCAAAUCCAAAGGUCGUAGGUUCGAAUCCCACCUGGAAGG
rnacentral:tRNA from 1 species